rnacentral:rRNA from 1 species
UACGGAGGGGGCUAGCGUUGCUCGGAAUCACUGGGCGUAAAGCGCACGUAGGCGGAUUGCUAAGUCAGGGGUGAAAUCCUGGAGCUCAACUCCAGAACUGCCUUUGAUACUGGCGACCUUGAGUCCGGGAGAGGUGAGUGGAACUGCGAGUGUAGAGGUGAAAUUCGUAGAUAUUCGCAAGAACACCAGUGGCGAAGGCGGCUCACUGGCCCGGUACUGACGCUGAGGUGCGAAAGCGUGGGGAGCAAACAGG